UGGGGAAUUUUGCACAAUGGGGGAAACCCUGAUGCAGCGACGCCGCGUGAUUUAGAAGGCCUUCGGGUUGUAAAAAUCUUUUUUACGGGAUGAAAAUGACAGUACCGUAAGAAUAAGGUCCGGCUAAAUACGUGCCAGCAGCCGCGGUAAUACGUAUGGACCGAGCGUUGUCCGGAAUCAUUGGGCGUAAAGGGUACGUAGGCGGCCUAGUAAGUUAGAAGUGAAAUAAUAUAGCUCAACUAUAUAAAGCUUUUAAAACUGCUAGGCUUGAGAGAUGGAAGGGAAAGUGGAAUUCCUAGUGUAGCGGUGAGAUGCGCAGAUAUUAGGAGGAAUACCGGUGGCGAAGGCGACUUUCUGGUCAUCAUCUGACGAUGAGGUACGAAAGCGUGGGUAGCAAACAGG
rnacentral:rRNA from 1 species